UGGUGGGUGAUGACGGGAUCGAACCGCCGACCCCCUCCUUGUAAGGGAGGUGCUCUCCCAGCUGAGCUAAUCCCCC
rnacentral:tRNA from 1 species